AUCUCUUGCACUCAUUCCAGCAACAUCUUAGUCAUGGUUUCUCGCGUCGUCUUUGCCGUGCUGGUGGUGGUCGUCCUAGCGGCCGCAGUAGUGGCUCUCCCUGACCCCACGAAACGGCACUUGGGAUACGGCUUGUACGGAGGAUACGGCCUCGGAGGAUUUGGCUUGGGAGGCUACGGAGGAUACGGAGGAUACGGUUAUGGAUCCCACUAUCCUUAUUACGGAUCCUACUAUGGAUAGAUAACGAAGGAUCAAGUAAACAUCGACUUCGUUUCCUGCCUGUUCAGCCUUGUAUUUAUAUUCUUAAAUACCAUAUAAUAAAGUUUUAACUCUA